rnacentral:rRNA from 1 species
GUCCACGCUGUAAACGAUGAUUACUCGUUUUCGGCGAUAUACAGUCGGAGACUAAGCGAAAGUGAUAAGUAAUCCACCUGGGGAGUACGAUCGCAAGGUUGAAACUCAAAGGAAUUGACGGGGGCCCGCACAAGCGGUGGAGCAUGUGGUUUAAUUCGAUGAUACGCGAGGAACCUUACCAGGGCUUAAAUGCAAGUUGAAUGAUGUGGAAACAUGUCAGUCUUCGGACAAUUUGCAAGGUGCUGCAUGGCUGUCGU